rnacentral:rRNA from 1 species
UAGGGAAUCUUCCACAAUGGGCGAAAGCCUGAUGGAGCAACGCCGCGUGUGUGAUGAAGGCUUUAGGGUCGUAAAGCACUGUUGUAUGGGAAGAAAUGCUAGAAUAGGGAAUGAUUCUAGUUCGACGGUACCAUACCAGAAAGGGACGGCUAAAUACGUGCCAGCAGCCGCGGUAAUACGUAUGUCCCGAGCGUUAUCCGGAUUUAUUGGGCGUAAAGCGAGCGCAGACGGUUGAUUAAGUCUGAUGUGAAAGCCCACGGCUCAACCGUGGAGGGUCAUUGGAAACUGUUAAACUUGAGUGCAGGAGAGAAAAGUGGAAUUCCUAGUGUAGCGGUGAAAUGCGUAGAGAUUAGGAGGAACACCAGUGGCGAAGGCGGCUUUUUGGCCUGUAACUGACACUGAGGCGCGAAAGCGUGGGGAGCAAACAGGAUUAGAUACCCUGGUAGUCCACGCCGUNNCGACGAGUGCUAAGUGUUGGUCUCAUAANAGAUCANUGCUGCAGCUNACGCAUUANGCACUCCGCCUGGGGAGUACNACCGCNNGGUUG